GAGGCAUCAGCAAGAGGCUGCCGCAGGGACCAGAGUGGAUUUCAUACGAGCUUGCUGAACGGAACUCUGGCAAACCAACUUCUGCUCUCGGGUCUUUAGGCACCCGCGAACUGCUGACGGCUGCCAUCCUGUCGAGACUCGUGGGGCUAUGUGUGGCAGUGUUGGCCAACUGGGCUGGGUAAGCAAAGCAUCCCUCUGUGAGAUGCAAACUGGUGCAACUGUGCUACAACCAACAGUGAACACAACUGCAAUGUUCUCCAAGUCCCUUCCUCUUCUGCUGAUGUACAGUUCAUGCUGGAAUUCGUGCUUCUUCUGCUGGUACUGUGCGUGUAUAGUCGGUGAACACAACCAAGUUACUUAAGGCACACUUGGAUCGGGCACGGCAUGGCAGGAAGCUGUCAAAACCCUGAAGUUUGUACUUAACUGAAUCCGAAGAUAUACAUAUAUUUGUUUAUUUGAUGAAGAAGCACGUAUUGGCAUCCUUCUCUGUUUGAACUCUGAUGUAACAAAAGAAAGCCCUUGUGAUGUACACAAGACAAGAUGGAUUAGAAAAUGUGCAUGCAUCAAACUCUGUACUGUAGCCUUAGCAAAUGUACACAUUGCUACCAAGUAUGUACACAUUUGUCAGAGUACACAACAAGUUCUUGGUGCAAGGGAAAAAAUAAAUACCAAAGCUAUCGGUAGAUAUUACUUUCAGUCCAAA